AGCCGCAGAAACACACCUCGUCCAUCCACUCGUGCGUCGCAGCCAUCGCCGCGCAUAAACCGUCCCCAACCAACCGCCACACACACUCGACACUACUCGAGCUCGCGAGCGGCGAGCCCAAAACCUGACAAACCACACGCCCACCUCGCCAUGGCGCGGCACCUCGCGCCACCAGGAAGCUUCCACCGCCUCCUCGCCUCCCGGCACUACCCGCCUUCCUCCCCGGCACCGCCGCCGCGCCCUCUCCUUCUCCUCCCCAAAACCCUAAUACCGCCGGCCGCCGCCGCAAUGGAAUUCCCUCGCCGCGGGCGGCGCGACGUCGCCGCCGCCUCCGCCCCGGCAUCCUCCUCGCCGGAGACCGAGGUAGCGCCGGGGGCCUGGGGGAAGGUCUCCGCCGUGCUCUUCGACAUGGACGGCGUGCUCUGCAACAGCGAGGAGCUCUCGCGCCUCGCGGGCGUCGACUUAUUUGCCGAGAUGGGCGUCGACGUCACCGGGGACGACUUUGUUCCUUACAUGGGCACAGGUGAGGCUAAUUUCCUUGGAGGUGUAGCGAAGUUGAAGGGAGUGAAAGAUUUCAACGCUGAAAGUGCCAAGAAACGUUUUUUUGAGAUAUAUCUUGACAAGUAUGCAAAGCCAAAUGCUGGCAUUGGAUUCCCUGGGGCUCUAGAUCUCGUAACAGAGUGCAAAAAUGCAGGUUUGAAGGUUGCUGUUGCAUCCAGUGCUGAUAGGAUUAAGGUGGAUGCAAAUUUGGCAGCUGCUGGUUUGCCUCUGUCGCUAUUCGAUGCCAUUGUUUCUGCUGAUGCAUUUGAAAAUUUGAAGCCUGCUCCGGACAUUUUUUUGGCAGCAUCUAAAACCCUAGGUGUUGACACAGAUGAGUGCAUUGUGAUAGAAGACGCACUUGCUGGAGUUCAAGCUGCAAAAGCUGCCGAAAUGAGAUGCAUUGCUGUGAUGACUACUCUGGAGGAAGAUGCGUUACAGCAAGCCAGUCCCUCACUCAUACGGAAGAAUAUUGGAGAUAUUUCAAUUAGAGAUAUUUUGUAUGGUGGUUCUAAUGCUUACCACAUUGGUGCAGAUGAACGGACAGAAAAUACUGAGAAUAUUAGUUCCUUAAAACCCUCAACAGAGAUUCUGAAUGGAGCAACUAAUGCUGAAUCUGCUCCGAGCACAAAUUCUGCAAGCUCAAUUGAUGAUUCCCGUGAAGGGCUGGUAGGUUCUCGUCGGAACAUAUUAAGAUAUGGAAGUCUUGGAAUAGCUGUUUCUUGUCUUAUCUAUACAACCAGGAAUUGGAAGGCCAUGCAGUUUGUAUCUCCCAAAGGGCUGCUUAAUUAUUUCACGGGUGGAAAUAGUUCGAUAUUUGCUAGUAAUGAAGGAGAACAACUCACAUCAAGGGUUCAACAAAUAAAGAAGUAUUUAGCUGAUUUUGAAACUGGAGGUUCUGCUACUUGUGUACCUGAGUUCCCAAGAAAGCUUGAUUGGUUGAAUACAGCGCCACUUCAGUUUGGAAGAGAUUUAAAAGGAAGAGUGGUCCUGUUGGAUUUUUGGACCUAUUGCUGCAUCAAUUGCAUGCAUGUCUUGCCCGACCUGGAAUUUAUAGAGAAGAAGUACAAGGAUAAACCUUUCACUGUUGUCGGUGUGCACUCUGCCAAAUUUGAUAAUGAAAAAGAUCUUGAAGCCAUCAGAAAUGCUGUUCUGCGCUACAACAUUACUCAUCCGGUUGUAAAUGAUGGGGACAUGUACUUGUGGAGAGAACUGGGGGUGAACUCUUGGCCUACAUUUGUUGUGAUUGGGCCCAACGGGAAGGUUUUAGCACAAAUAUCAGGUGAAGGUCACAGAAAGGACCUUGAUGAUGUGGUUGGUGCAGCUCUUGAAUUUUAUGAAGAAAAUAAAUUAUUACAAAACAGUUCUCUUCCCUUGGCAUUGGAGAAGGACAAGGAUAGUCGUUUACUAGCUUCACCGCUUAAAUUUCCUGGGAAACUUGCAAUAGAUGUACUGAACAAUCGGUUGUUUAUAUCAGACAGUAAUCAUAAUCGAAUUGUAGUUACCAACCUGGAAGGGGAAUUUAUAUGUCAAAUUGGAAGUUCUGAAGAAGGACUACUUGAUGGCACAUUUGAUACUGCUUCAUUUAAUCGCCCUCAAGGUCUUGCUUACAACUCCAAAAAGAAUAUCCUGUAUGUUGCAGAUACUGAGAACCAUGCACUGCGAGAGAUUAAUUUUGUGAGCGAGACUGUCAAAACACUGGCGGGAAAUGGAACGAAAGGCUCUGAUUACAGAGGAGGAGGUCAGGGAACUAAUCAGGUUCUAAAUUCACCAUGGGAUGUCUGCUAUGAUCCCUCAAAGGAGACCCUAUACAUCGCAAUGGCUGGACAACAUCAGAUCUGGAAACACAACACAUUGGACGGUGUAACAGAAGUUCUCAGUGGUGAUGGCUACGAGAGAAAUUUGAAUGGAUCGAGUUUGGAGAUCAUGAUGGGACUGGCUCGGAUGUGCUACUCCAGCAUCCAUUGGGUGUUGUCUAUGCUAGUGAUAAUCAAAUAUAUGUUGCGGACUCUUACAAUCACAAGAUAAAAAGGUUAGAUCCUGUCACACGGAAAGUUACGACGAUUGCUGGUACGGGACGUGCAGGAUACAAGGAUGGUCCAGCCUUGUCAGCUCAACUGUCUGAGCCAGCAGGACUUGUUGAAGUGGGAGAUGGUAAUCUUUUUCCAUGUGCUGUGUUGCUUGUCUAGUUUAACUGACACAUGAGAUAGUAAUUAGAACAAUCACGCUAUCUAAUGGUGUUCUAGAGUUAAUUUCCUGAAUACACCGAUUAGGUGAUGGACCUAGCAAUUCACUGGAUCACCUUGCCUGUAAUCGUCUAACCUUGCCUAUUUUAUGUAUUUCACCAUUUGCACUUGUUUUAUGAACAACCCUAUGUUAUGUGUAAGCUGCUUACAUUUUUCCUGGUCAGUGACAGAAUAGGCAAACAGUAGUUGUUGUGCUGCAAGAUGAAUAAUAUGGUGCAAACUAUUGCUUUUCUGAUAUAUCGUAGGAAGGCUUCUUGUAGCAGAUACAAACAAUAGCACAAUCAGGUAUAUAGUUUUGAAUGAGAAAGGCGCUGAGGUGCGCACGCUAGAUUUGAUUGGAGUUCAGCCACCAUCACCAAAACCAAAGACAUUGAAACGCCUAAGAAGACGUCUAUCAGCAGACACGGAUGUUAUUAACAUUGAUGGUGGUUCUUCAAUUGAAGGAUAUUUGUCUCUAGCAAUCUCUGUCCCUGAUGGUUACCAUUUCUCCAAGGUCCAAAAUCAUCACAGAAUUUUAGCUAUAAUGUUUUUGCAUCAUAUAUGGUAGCCUUAUAUAGUUACUGACGAGCAUUUUCCCGUUAUAUUGUGAAUGUUAUUGUAUGGUACACUUUUUAAAUAGAAAUAUCAUUUCAUUCGAUGGUUUGUCAGCACUCUUCACAGGACUAUACUAUUUUUGUUUUGUUUUUAUGCUAUAAGGUCUUUCUGGUUGCUUUUACCUACUAUGAAAUAUAUGGCAUAACAUCCAUGCAAUCAUACUUCAUGCAUAUCAAUUCUUCCUUCCUUUUGGACACUCUUUUUCUGAGAAAAAAAGAGAACAGUUAACUUGUUAAAGGCCUGAAUGAUCUGGUCACACCACCGAAGUGGAUGGUGCUUACUUUCAUAGUGUCAUGGAGUCUUCUGGGUUCAAUGUCAGCUUAGUGCAAAACGUUUUUUAUGGCUGUCAGCAUGAUUUACUUGUGAUGAUAUACGUUCUCAUUUGCAGGAAGCUCGAAGUAAAUUUGAUGUGGACAUAGAACCAGCUGAUGCAAUUGAGAUAGAGCCAGUUAAUGGUUUUCUAAACUCAGGACAGGCAUCACUCAAGUACAGAAGGAAAUCUUCAUCGUCAUCAACGGGAAGGAUCAAUUGCAAGGUUUACUACUGCAAAGAAGACGAAGUUUGUCUUUACCAAUCUGUUGCCUUCGAUGUCAAAUUCCGGGAAGAGGCAGUCCCCAGUCCAGCGCAGAUUACUCUUUCCUAUUCUGUGGUACCAAGAGAUACUUCAAGUAGCGCACAAUUAAUAGCCGCUGGAAAGAACGGCAAGGUAUAGUUAGAUCUAGGGUGAUUGUUUUACUGUUAAUUCCUGUGCUGAUUGUGAAUUUGGCUUUAGUGCCAGAAAGGUAAGCUCUUUUUUGGAGGGUGUCUAAAGUUCCAACUGCCUUUGGAUGAUGUAUAUGUUGUAAUAUAAUGCUGUAUGCUUGACAUGCUACCUCCACCCUAUAGAAUCCUAGACCAAUUCAUUUUUAUAUAUAUUGACAUCGCCCUGUUUGCCUAGAAAAAA